ACUUCGAACUUAGUAAAAGAAAUCUGAGUGACCAAUCCGAUCGUAUAUAUUUAUAAUCAUCUCUACGAUCAAUCUAAUCGUAAUAAUAUAGAAAUAACCAUUAAAGUUUCAAGACAGGUUCCACGCCUCUUUUAGCAGGAAAUAAAACACAAUGAACAAAUCACAUUCGAUUAAAUUGAAUGUAGAAUUUAAAUAUGAGCUAUUUAUUCAGCUGCUUCGUUCGAGAAGUUUUAUUUCGUUGAAAAUGAAGACAUUAUUCUGUUUAUACAUUAUCCUUGUCUAUUUUAUGGGUAUGUAUUUUAUUACUUUAUUUUAUAUUAUAUUGUUAAGUACUGUAUAUACAAUAUUAAAUAUUUUUUGAAUUAUUUUAUUUAGCUAUCGAAGGAAACGAGAAUUGCCAUCCCGAUAUGAAGAACCAGUUUAAAAGUAUAUAUGAAUGCCUUUAUCAAACGGAUAAUGAAACUCAGAUAUGCAAUGAUUACCAUGGUUUUAUGAGUUGGGAAAUGUGGAAAGAAUUAGGAAAAUUUGUAGAAACUGCAAUGGAGAACAAUGCUAAAGAAUGUGAAAAUAUAGUUAUGGAUUUUAUAAAUAAUAAUAACGAUUGAUAUGUUUGGUUUCGUGUGUACAAUUACGUAUUUUCAAAUUUGAUUAAUUGUUCAGAAUUUGAAAUAAAAUAAGGAGAUUCUUAAGGGA